AUACUUACCUGGCGUCGGAGUUACGAUGAUCACUAAGGCGGUUCCCUGAGAGCAAGGACUUUCCAUUCCAGUUCGGCUUGGCUGACCUCCACGAAUAUCUCAAAUGUGAAUAUAUUUUUGGUAAUCAAUUUAUUAGCUUGAAUAUACUUUUAGGGUGAAUUUGUG